AUUUCUGCUUGCACUGCUGAGGCACGCAUGGGUCAGGGCACUUUAUAGGUGGGCAAGGGUCUGGACACUUGCAAGGUGGGCAAGGGUCUGGACACUUGCAAGGUGGGCAAGGGUCAUGGCAUUUUGGUGUGCACACUGGUGGUGGCUGGCAGGGCUGCUUGCACUGC